rnacentral:lncRNA from 1 species
CGAGGAAAGCCUAUGUCGCCUUGAAAAAGACAAGUCCACUUGUCGAAACGUGGGCUCGUGCUUUCGCCUUGUUCUUGGUUUGCUCAUCAUCUUGAAUUCCCCAUCUCCC